rnacentral:lncRNA from 1 species
UUUAAAGGACAUAAAUGUAGUUCUCCCCAAAAUAGAUAAAAGUAGAUAUCCAGCACAAAAGAUAUUGUUGACACUUUGCCAAUGCCUACAAUAUUGCCACAUAUUCUUUUGCAUAUGGAAUUUGACAUAACUUUUGCACUUUUAGCAUGGAUUUUAAAAGGAAGUAACAUCAUUGCAUUUUUAUAUAACUGCAUAAUGCUAAAAAUACAGUAUUUUUAAUUUAAACAAAGGGAUGCUAAGAACAUGUGAUUUCUAAAGUUGGUGGACUUUGGCCAGUUGAGUACAGCAACAAGUAAUUCAUUUUAACAGCCUGAACAAGCACGCCUUUCAUGGAAGAACACUCUCUCACUAUCCUAAGCCUCCUUCUCUCUCCCCAAAACUUCCCAUACGUGACAUUUGCAUUGACUUCAUCAGCUUCAAAUUGCAUCAUCAUGAAUUUUAGCAUGCAGUCUGUACUCUUUCAUCCACAGCAAGGUUGGAAGUGAAUUAGUGUAUACUAAAUUAUUAAACAUAGAGAGAAAAUUCUAACAAAACACUAAUAUUAAAACUGUCACUAUAAUCAAUGAAAAGAAUAUUUUCCAAACAAAAGCUGCCUAUGAAUUUCUACACAUGUUAAAAUACUUUUCACUAAUACAUAUAGGGGUAUUCCACUUUUAUGUAAAAUUUAUCAUAUAUCAUAUGAUAUUAAAUAUCAUAUGGGCAGAAAUAUAUAUAGCUAUGUAUGAUAAAACAAAAUCAAUCCUAGCAAAUAAUUAACUUUUUAUGAUACAAACAUAAAAAAAAUACUUUUCUAGAUAUUUGAAAUGUAUGAG